rnacentral:rRNA from 1 species
AUUGAACGCUGGCGGCAGGCCUAACACAUGCAAGUCGAACGGUAACAGGAAGCAGCUUGCUUCUUUGCUGACGAGUGGCGGACGGGUGAGUAAUGUCUGGGAAACUGCCUGAUGGAGGGGGAUAACUACUGGAAACGGUAGCUAAUACCGCAUAACGUCGCAAGACCAAAAAGGGGGACCUUAGGGCCUCUUGCCAUCGGAUGUGCCCAGAUGGGAUUAGCUAGUAGGUGGGGUAACGGCUCACCUAGGCGACGAUCCCUAGCUGGUCUGAGAGGAUGACCAGCCACACUGGAACUGAGACACGGUCCAGACUCCUACGGGAGGCAGCAGUGGGGAAUAUUGCACAAUGGGCGCAAGCCUGAUGCAGCCAUGCCGCGUGUAUGAAGAAGGCCUUCGGGUUGUAAAGUACUUUCAGCGGGGAGGAAGGGAGUAAAGUUAAUACCUUUGCUCAUUGACGUUACCCGCAGAAGAAGCACCGGCUAACUCCGUG